CCGCAGCCAUGAGCGCAGCCUGAUGCAGCCACGCCGCGUGAGGGAUGAAGGCCUUAGGGUUGUAAAGCCCUGUCAGCUGGGAAGAUAAUGACGGGACCCGGAGAAGAAGCCCCGGCUAACUCCGUGCCCGCCGCCGCGGUAAUUAAGAA
rnacentral:rRNA from 1 species